rnacentral:rRNA from 1 species
UACGGAGGGUGCAAGCGUUGUUCGGAAUUAUUGGGCGUAAAGGGCAAGUAGGUGGUCUUGUAAGUCUACUGUGAAAUCCCUGGGCUUAACCCAGGAAGUGCGGUGGAUACUGCAGGACUAGAGUAUCGGAGGGGUACGUGGAAUUCCCGGUGUAGCGGUGAAAUGCGCAGAUAUCGGGAGGAACACCGGUGGCGAAGGCGGUUCUCUGGGCCUUACCUGACGCUGAGGAGCGAAAGCGUGGGGAGCGAACAGGAAUAGAUACCCGGUAGUCCAGCACCGAAGAUCCGUCCUCGCUACCGA